AUGGUACUCCCGCGAACAGCACCAACCACCACGAAGAAACAAGGUGAACGCAAGAAGAAAAACAAACGACAAAGGGUAGAAAAAGAACAAGACGAUACCAACUGCAAAGGUUCAGAUACCAAUGAUGAUGACGAUGACAGAGAACAUGAUGCAGAUUUCAUUCCUACAGACGGCGAUGAUGCCGAAGAGCAUGACAGCGACGCAAAACAUGACGACGAUCCCAAAUCAGGCCAGAAGGACAGAAAGAGGAGAAAGACCAGCGGAAAAGAAUUGGCAGCACCAACAGUUGACGAAGAACAGCAAGAAACAAACGAAGAGAAAUGCCAAAUCAAGGCAGGGGCAGCAUUUGCUCAUGUCAAGAAAGCAUGGGAUUUACUUAAAGACCGUCACAAGCAAGAUAUUAGGACGGCAGGAUUUGGCAGCAUAGAGAACUGCAAAAUAACGGGCUCCAUCUGCAGACCGCUUGCAGCACACAUCUACGACAACCUGGACAUAGAAAGCAUGACAAUAACCUCCGGUGAUGGUACCGAAGACAAGAAAAUCAAGAUUACCAAGGAAGCUAUACACAAGGUGUUUGGAUACCCAAACGGCACGGAAAAGUCAGCACCAAGGCCAGCAAAGAGCCCAACUUCAAUGAAAGAACUGAUGUCAGACCUUGGCUUCAAACAUACAAAUUUCACGCCAAAAGAACUGUUCACGGAGCUAAAAAAUUGGUGGAACUAG
rnacentral:rRNA from 1 species